rnacentral:rRNA from 1 species
GAACGGAGAGAGAAGGAGCUUGCUUCUUCGAUCGAGUGGCGAACGGGUGAGUAACGCGUGAGGAACCUGCCUCAAAGAGGGGGACAACAGUUGGAAACGACUGCUAAUACCGCAUAAGCCCACGGGUCGGCAUCGACCUGAGGGAAAAGGAGCAAUCCGCUUUGAGAUGGCCUCGCGUCCGAUUAGCUAGUUGGUGAGGUAACGGCCCACCAAGGCGACGAUCGGUAGCCGGACUGAGAGGUUGAACGGCCACAUUGGGACUGAGACACGGCCCAGACUCCUACGGGAGGCAGCAGUGGGGAAUAUUGCACAAUGGGGGAAGCCCUGAUGCAGCGACGCCGCGUGGAGGAAGAAGGUCUUCGGAUUGUAAACUCCUGUUGUUGAGGAAGAUAAUGACGGUACUCAACAAGGAAGUGACGGCUAACUACGUGCCAGCAGCCGCGGUAAAACGUAGGUCACAAGCGUUGUCCGGAAUUACUGGGUGUAAAGGGAGCGCAGGCGGGAAGACAAGUUGGAAGUGAAAUCUAUGGGCUCAACCCAUAAACUGCUUUCAAAACUGUUUUUCUUGAGUAGUGCAGAGGUAGGCGGAAUUCCCGGUGUAGCGGUGGAAUGCGUAGAUAUCGGGAGGAACACCAGUGGCGAAGGCGGCCUACUGGGCACCAACUGACGCUGAGGCUCGAAAGUGUGGGUAGCAAACAGGAUUAGAUACCCUGGUAGUCCACACCGUAAACGAUGAUUACUAGGUGUUGGAGGAUUGACCCCUUCAGUGCCGCAGUUAACACAAUAAGUAAUCCACCUGGGGAGUACGACCGCAAGGUUGAAACUCAAAGGAAUUGACGGGGGCCCGCACAAGCAGUGGAGUAUGUGGUUUAAUUCGACGCAACGCGAAGAACCUUACCAAGUCUUGACAUCCCUUGACGGACAUAGAAAUAUGUUUUCUCUUCGGAGCAAGGAGACAGGUGGUGCAUGGUUGUCGUCAGCUCGUGUCGUGAGAUGUUGGGUUAAGUCCCGCAACGAGCGCAACCCUUAUGGUCAGUUACUACGCAAGAGGACUCUGGCCAGACUGCCGUUGACAAAACGGAGGAAGGUGGGGAUGACGUCAAAUCAUCAUGCCCUUUAUGACUUGGGCUACACACGUACUACAAUGGCGUUAAACAAAGAGAAGCAAGACCGCGAGGUGGAGCAAAACUCAGAAACAACGUCCCAGUUCGGACUGCAGGCUGCAACUCGCCUGCACGAAGUCGGAAUUGCUAGUAAUCGUGGAUCAGCAUGCCACGGUGAAUACGUUCCCGG